rnacentral:rRNA from 1 species
AUUGAACGCUGGCGGCAUGCUUUACACAUGCAAGUCGAACGGUAACAGGUUAAGCUGACGAGUGGCGAACGGGUGAGUAAUGCAUCGGAACGUGCCCGAUCGUGGGGGAUAACGCAGCGAAAGCUGCGCUAAUACCGCAUACGAUCUGAGGAUGAAAGCGGGGGACCGUAAGGCCUCGCGCGAUCGGAGCGGCCGAUGUCCGAUUAGGUAGUUGGUGGGGUAAAGGCUCACCAAGCCAACGAUCUGUAGCUGGUCUGAGAGGACGACCAGCCACACUGGGACUGAGACACGGCCCAGACUCCUACGGGAGGCAGCAGUAGGGAAUUUUGGACAAUGGGCGAAAGCCUGAUCCAGCAAUGCCGCGUGCAGGAAGAAGGCCUUCGGGUUGUAAACUGCUUUUGUACGGAGCGAAAAGGUCUCCUCUAAUACAGGGGGCUCAUGACGGUACCGUAAGAAUAAGCACCGGCUAACUACGUGCCAGCAGCCGCCGUAA